GAUGAACGCUAGCGGCAGGCUUAACACAUGCAAGUCGAGGGGUAGAGGAAGCUUGCUUCCUUGAGACCGGCGCACGGGUGCGUAACGCGUAUGCAACCUACCUUUUACAGAGGGAUAGCCCAGAGAAAUUUGGAUUAAUACCUCAUGGUAUAUAUCAUUCGCAUGUUUGAUAUAUUAAAGUUCCAACGGUAAAAGAUGAGUAUGCGUCCCAUUAGCUAGAUGGUAAGGUAACGGCUUACCAUGGCAACGAUGGGUAGGGGUCCUGAGAGGGAGAUCCCCCACACUGGUACUGAGACACGGACCAGACUCCUACGGGAGGCAGCAGUGAGGAAUAUUGGACAAUGGGCGCAAGCCUGAUCCAGCCAUGCCGCGUGCAGGAAGACGGUCCUAUGGAUUGUAAACUGCUUUUAUACAGGAAGAAACACCUCUACGUGUAGAGACUUGACGGUACUGUAUGAAUAAGCAUCGGCUAACUCCGUGCCAG
rnacentral:rRNA from 1 species